GACGAACGCUGGCGGCGUGCUUAACACAUGCAAGUCGAACGGAAAGGCCCUGCUUUUGUGGGGUGCUCGAGUGGCGAACGGGUGAGUAACACGUGAGUAACCUGCCCUUUACUUUGGGAUAACUUCAGGAAACUGGGGCUAAUACCGGAUAGGAGCUCCUGCUGCAUGGUGGGGGUUGGAAAGUUUCGGCGGUUGGGGAUGGACUCGCGGCUUAUCAGCUUGUUUGUGGGGUAGUGGCUUACCAAGGCUUUGACGGGUAGCCGGCCUGAGAGGGUGACCGGCCACAUUGGGACUGAGAUACGGCCCAGACUCCUACGGGAGGCAGCAGUGGGGAAUAUUGCACAAUGGGCGGAAGCCUGAUGCAGCAACGCAGCGUGCGGGAUGACGGCCUUCGGGUUGUAAACCGCUUUCGCCUGUGACGAAGCGUGAGUGACGGUAAUGGGUAAAGAAGCACCGGCUAACUACGUG
rnacentral:rRNA from 1 species